rnacentral:rRNA from 1 species
ACGCUGGCGGCAGGCCUAACACAUGCAAGUCGAGCGGUAGAGAGAAGCUUGCUUCUCUUGAGAGCGGCGGACGGGUGAGUAAUGCCUAGGAAUCUGCCUGGUAGUGGGGGAUAACGUUCGGAAACGGACGCUAAUACCGCAUACGUCCUACGGGAGAAAGCAGGGGACCUUCGGGCCUUGCGCUAUCAGAUGAGCCUAGGUCGGAUUAGCUAGUCGGUGAGGUAAUGGCUCACCAAGGCGACGAUCCGUAACUGGUCUGAGAGGAUGAUCAGUCACACUGGAACUGAGACACGGUCCAGACUCCUACGGGAGGCAGCAGUGGGGAAUAUUGGACAAUGGGCGAAAGCCUGAUCCAGCCAUGCCGCGUGUGUGAAGAAGGUCUUCGGAUUGUAAAGCACUUUAAGUUGGGAGGAAGGGUUGUAGAUUAAUACUCUGCAAUUUUGACGUUACCGACAGAAUAAGCACCGGCUAACUCUGUGCCAGCAGCCGCGGUAAUACAGAGGGUGCAAGCGUUAAUCGGAAUUACUGGGCGUAAAGCGCGCGUAGGUGGUUUGUUAAGUUGGAUGUGAAAUCCCCGGGCUCAACCUGGGAACUGCAUUCAAAACUGACUGACUAGAGUAUGGUAGAGGGUGGUGGAAUUUCCUGUGUAGCGGUGAAAUGCGUAGAUAUAGGAAGGAACACCAGUGGCGAAGGCGACCACCUGGACUAAUACUGACACUGAGGUGCGAAAGCGUGGGGAGCAAAC